CCUACGGGGCGCAGCAGUGGGGAAUAUUGCACAAUGGGGGAAACCCUGAUGCAGCGACGCCGCGUGAAGGACGAAGUAUUUCGGUACGUAAACUUCUAUCAGCAGGGAAGAAAAUGACGGUACCUGACCAAGAAGCCCCGGCUAACUACGUGCCAGCAGCCGCGGUAAUACGUAGGGGGCAAGCGUUAUCCGGAUUUACUGGGUGUAAAGGGAGCGUAGACGGCCGUGCAAGUCUGGUGUGAAAGGCGGGGGCCCAACCCCCGGCCUGCUCUGGAAACUGUAUGGCUGGAGUGCCGGA
rnacentral:rRNA from 1 species